GAUGAACGCUGGCGGCGUGCCUAACACAUGCAAGUCGAACGGAGUAUCUUUUAUAGAUUUUCUUCGGAAUUGAAGUAAUUGAUACUUAGUGGCGGAUGGGUGAGUAACGCGUGGGUAACCUGCCUCAUACAGGGGAAUAACAGCCGGAAACGGUUGCUAAAACCGCAUGAGCACACAUUAUCGCAUGAUAGAGUGUGAAAAUAUUUAUAGGUAUGAGAUGGGCCCGCGUCUGAUUAGCUAGUUGGUGAGAUAAUGGCUUACCAAGGCGACGAUCAGUAGCCGGCUUGAGAGAGUGAUCGGCCACAUUGGGACUGAGACACGGCCCAAACUCCUACGGGAGGCAGCAGUGGGGAAUAUUGCACAAUGGGGGAAACCCUGAUGCAGCGACGCCGCGUGAGUGAAGAAGUAUUUCGGUAUGUAAAGCUCUAUCAGCAGGGAAGAAAAUGACGGUACCUGACUAAGAAGCCCCGGCUAACUACGUGCCAGCAGCCGCGGUAAUACGUAGGGGGCAAGCGUUAUCCGGAUUUACUGGGUGUAAAGGGAGCGUANGUGGUUAGGUAAGUCAGAUGUGAAAGCCCGUGGCUCAACUGCGGGAUUGCAUUUGAAACUAUCUAACUA
rnacentral:rRNA from 1 species